GACAGAGGGUGCAAACGUUGUUCGGAAUUACUGGGCGUAAAGCGCGUGUAGGCUGCUCAGAAAGUCGGAUGUGAAAGCCCUGGGCUCAACCUAGGAAGUGCAUUCGAAACUUCUGAGCUGGAGUUCUGGAGAGGAAGGCGGAAUUCUCGGUGUAGAGGUGAAAUUCGUAGAUAUCGAGAGGAACACCGGUGGCGAAGGCGGCCCGCUGGGAUACUUGCUGACGCUGAGGCGCGACAGCGUGGGGAGCAAACAGG
rnacentral:rRNA from 1 species